rnacentral:rRNA from 1 species
ACAGUGGACGCGAGCAUCUGUGGCCAAGUAUUUAAGGGCGCACGGUGGAUGCCUUGGUACCAGGAACCGAUGAAGGACGUGGGAGGCCGCGAUAGGCCCCGGGGAGCUGUCAACCGAGCUUUGAUCCGGGGGUGUCCGAAUGGGGAAACCCGGCAGUCGUCAUGGGCUGUCACCCAUACCUGAACGCAUAGGGUAUGUGGAGGGAACGCGGGGAAGUGAAACAUCUCAGUACCCGCAGGAAGAGAAAACAACCGUGAUUCCGGGAGUAGUGGCGAGCGAAACCGGAUGAGGCUAAACCGUAUGUGUGUGAUACCCGGCAGGGGUUGCGCAUACGGGGUCGUGGGAGUUCUCUUGAUCGGUCUGCCGGCCGGUCGGCGAGUGAGAAACCGUUGUGGUAGGCGAAGGGCAUGCGAAAGGCCCGGCGUAGAGGGUAAGACCCCCGUAGCUGAAACUGCAACGGCUCGUUUGAGGACCACCCAAGUAGCAUGGGGCCCGAGAAAUCCUGUGUGAAUCUGGCGGGACCACCCGCUAAGCCUAAAUAUUCCCUGGUGACCGAUAGUGGAUAGUACCGUGAGGGAAUGGUGAAAAGUACCGCGGGAGCGGAGUGAAAUAGUACCUGAAACCGUGUGCCUACAAGCCGUGGGAGCGUCGCAUGCCAAGCUUGCUUGGUGUGUCGUGACUGCGUGCCUUUUGAAGAAUGAGCCUGCGAGUUUGCGGUACGUUGCGAGGUUAACCCGUGUGGGGAAGCCGUAGCGAAAGCGAGUCCGAAUAGGGCGUUCGAGUAGCGUGCUCAAGACCCGAAGCGGAGUGAUCUAGCCAUGGGCAGGGUGAAGCGGCUGUAAGAGGUCGUGGAGGCCCGAACCCACCAGGGUUGAAAACCUGGGGGAUGACCUGUGGUUAGGGGUGAAAGGCCAAUCAAACUCCGUGAUAGCUGGUUCUCCCCGAAAUGCAUUUAGGUGCAGCGUCGUGUGUUUCUUGCCGGAGGUAGAGCACUGGAUAGGCGAUGGGCCCUACCGGGUUACUGACCUUAGCCAAACUCCGAAUGCCGGUAAGUGAGAGCGCGGCAGUGAGACUGUGGGGGAUAAGCUCCAUGGUCGAGAGGGAAACAGCCCAGAGCAUCGACUAAGGCCCCUAAGCGUGUGCUAAGUGGGAAAGGAUGUGGAGUCGCAGAGACAACCAGGAGGUUGGCUUAGAAGCAGCCAUCCUUGAAAGAGUGCGUAAUAGCUCACUGGUCAAGUGAUUCCGCGCCGACAAUGUAGCGGGGCUCAAGUACACCGCCGAAGUCGUGUCACUCCAACAU